AUCAACGCUGGCGGGGUGCCUAACACAUGCAAGUCGAACGGGAAAACGGGAGCAAUCCUGUGAGUACAGUGGCGUACGGGUGUGUAACACGUGAACUAACCUACCCUCGAGUGGGGGAUAACCCCGGGAAAGCCGGGGCUAAUACCGCCAUAACAUCGAGAGAUCAAAGGGCAAUCGAUGAGGAGGGGGCAAUCGGCUUGAGGAGGGGGUCGCGGCUGAUUAGCUAGUUGGUGAGGUAACGGCUCACCAAGGCGAUGAUCGGUAGCCGGCCUGAUGAGGGCGCACGGCCACACUGGAACUGAAACACGGUCCAGACUCCUACGGGAGGCAGCAGUGGGGAAUUUUGCGCAAUGGGGGAACCCUGACGCAGCAACGCCGCAGUGGAGAUGAAGUCCCUUGGGACGUAAACUCCUUUCGACCGCGGACGAUUAUGACGGGCUACGGGUGGAAGAAGCACCCGCUUAACUUCGUGCCAGGCAGCGCGGUAAUACGAGGGGUGCAAGCGUUGUUCGGAAUUAUGAGGUCGCGUAAAGGGCGCGGUAGGCGGUGGCGGUUUAAGUCACCGUGAAAUCUCCUGGCUCACCUUGGGAGCUUGCAGGCGAAACUGCCGUGCUGGAGGUGUGGGAGAGGUGCGUGGAAUUCCCGGUGUAGCGGUGAAUGAAUGCGUAGAUAUCGGGAGGAAACACCUGUGGCGAAGAAGCGGCGCACUGGACCACAACUGACGCUGAGGCGCGAAAGCUAGGGGAGCCAAACAGGAUUAGAUACCCUGGUAGUCCUAGCCCUAAACUAUGAAUGCUUGGUUGUUAGUGGGUACCCAAUCCCACUGUGCCGGAGCUAACGCGUUAAGCAUUCCCGCCUGGGGAGUACGGUUCGCUAAGGCUGAAACUCAAAGGAAUUGACGGGGCCCGCACAAGCGGUGGAGCAUGUGGUUCAAUUCGACGCCAACGCGAAGAACCUUACCUGGGCUCGAAGCGCAGUGGAAUCGACGGUGGAAACAUCGCGCCCGCAAGGUCGCUGCGGAUGGUGCUGCAGCGCUGUCGUCAGCUCGUGUCGUGAGAGUGUUGGGUUAAGUCCCGCAACGAGCGCAACCCUUAUCGUUAGUUGCCAUCAGGGUCAAGUCGGGCACUCUAGCGAAACCGCCCUCGGAUUAACGGGAGAGAAGGUGGGAUGACGUCAAGUCCCUCAUGGCUUUAUGUCCAGGGCUACACACGUGCUACAAUGGUCGUACAAACCGUCGCCAAACCGCGAGGGGGAGCCUAAUCGGAAAAAGCCGGCCUCAUGUUCGGAUUGGAGUCUGCAACCCGACUCCAUGAAGCUGGAAUCGCUAGUAAUCGCAGAUUACAGAACGCUGCGGUGAAUGAAUACGUUCCCGGGCCUUGUACACACCGCCCGUCACAUCACGAAAGUGGGUGAUACUAGAAGUCGUUUCGUCAACCCGCAAGGGGGACUGACGCCAAGGUAUGACUCAUGAUUGGGGUG
rnacentral:rRNA from 1 species